UAGUGGCGAACGGGUGAGUAACACGUGGGCAAUCUGCCCUUCACUCUGGGACAAGCCCUGGAAACGGGGUCUAAUACCGGAUAACACCUGCCCGGGCAUCUGGGUGGGUUAAAAGCUCCGGCGGUGAAGGAUGAGCCCGCGGCCUAUCAGCUUGUUGGUGAGGUAGUGGCUCACCAAGGCGACGACGGGUAGCCGGCCUGAGAGGGCGACCGGCCACACUGGGACUGAGACACGGCCCAGACUCCUACGGGAGGCAGCAGUGGGGAAUAUUGCACAAUGGGCGAAAGCCUGAUGCAGCGACGCCGCGUGAGGGAUGACGGCCUUCGGGUUGUAAACCUCUUUCAGCAGGGAAGAAGCGAAAGUGACGGUACCUGCAGAAGAAGCGCCGGCUAACUACGUGCCAGCAGCCGCGGUAAUACGUAGGGCGCAAGCGUUGUCCGGAAUUAUUGGGCGUAAAGAGCUCGUAGGCNGGCUUGUCACGUCGGGUGUGAAAGCCCGGGGCUUAACCCCGGGUCUGCAUUCGAUACGGGCUAGCUAGAGUGUGGNAGGGGAGAUCGGAAUUCCU
rnacentral:rRNA from 1 species